CAAGUCGCACGAGAAAGGGAGCAAUCCUAAGUAAAGUGGCGUACGGGUGAGUAACACGUGGAUAAUCUACCUUUUAGUGGGGAAUACCCCCGGGAAACUGGGGACAAUACCGCAUAAGCUCGUAAGAGGAAAGCAGCAAUGCGCUGAAAGAGGAGUCCGCGGCUGAUUAGCUAGUUGGCGGGGUAACGGCCCACCAAGGCGAAGAUCGGUAGCCGGCCUGAGAGGGCACACGGCCACACUGGCACUGAAACACGGGCCAGACUCCUACGGGAGGCAGCAGUGGGGGAUCUUGCACAAUGGAGGAAACUCUGAUGCAGCGACGCCGCGUGAGCGAUGAAGCCCUUCGGGGUGUAAAGCUCUUUCGACGGGAACGAUAAUGACGGUACCCGAAGAAGAAGCUGCGGCUAACUACGUGCCAGCAGCCGCGGUAAUACGUAGGCAGCAAGCGUUGUUCGGAAUUACUGGGCGUAAAGAGUGUGUAGGCGGUGUUCUAAGUCUGUUGUGAAAUCUCCCGGCUUAACUGGGAGGGUGCGGCGGAGACUGGAAUGCUAGAGUAUGGGAGAGGUAAGCGGAAUUCCUGGUGUAGCGGUGAAAUGCGUAGAUAUCAGGAGGAACACCUGUGGUGUAGACAGCUUACUGGACCAUGACUGACGCUGAGACACGAAAGCGUGGGUAGCAAACAGGAUUAGAUACCCUGGUAGUCCACGCCCUAAACGAUGCAUACUUGGUGUGAGCCAUUCAUUUGGUUCGUGCCGGAGCUAACGCGUUAAGUAUGCCGCCUGGGGAGUACGGUCGCAAGGCUGAAACUCAAAGGAAUUGACGGGGGCCCGCACAAGCGGUGGAGCAUGUGGUUCA
rnacentral:rRNA from 1 species